UGGGCGCUCGCUCAGAGAUUGGUGCGGCUGAGGAAAGGACGCCUGCGACCCCCCGCCCAUACGUCAGCUUGCGGGCCGCGGCGAGCGGUUCCCCUUAAAGCCGUCCCACGUUUUCCUCUCGACUUCUUGUCACCGUUAGGAAAAAAUGGGUAUCCAGCCCCGAGUUAGAAAACAAUCUCUGGGACUCAAAUUUGUUGAAGGAGAGUGUUUCCCUCCAUGGAGCAAACCAGAAUCGCGUCUGCUGUGCUGGCGAGCCUGCGUGGACCGACUGGCGUUGAUAAAGGGCAGCUGUCGAGAGGGGCACCCUCAUUCCCCGUCGUCCGCAGCUGUCUGUUUUUAAACGCUCUGUUGGCGGGAAAUGGAGCACCCGCUGCAACUCCUGCCCCCGGCUCCCUGUGGACACCGAGGGAGCCCUGGUCCCCGGCAAUGCUGAGCCUAUCGUGCUGUAAAGAGAUGAGUAAGUAAGAGUCACACCGUGUCGGCCCUAGAAACUCAUACCCUGAGAGCAGGACACGCAGGAAACUGGAUAAUCCCAUUAGGCUGAGCUGCUUACAGUGAAGCUGUUGGAGCUGAGAACUACAUGUUGAAAAAUCCUCCAUCAGGAAAUUACUAUGGAGCUGAAUCUUAAGGAUGAGUAAGAGUUCCCCGGUUGUGACAAGAGGAGGACGGACUUUCCAGAGAGGAAGAGGAUUUGGCCUGAGUAAAUUAGUAUGAAAACUUUGUGGAAAAAAAAUUUUUGAAAAAUCCUUAAAUCACUGCUUAGUUCAGGAGAGAAAAUCCCUUGACUCACAUGUAAUGCCCAAAAUGCUUUUCAAACCAAUGUUUAUACUAAGGAAAUGAGCAGUUGAGGUGGACAAUUAUAGGAUAGCGAACAUCCUUUUCCUCCUCAAAGGACACAGACGUCAGAGACUAAAGGAAAACAAAGGUUAAUGCCAUGUUAUAGCAAGCUGUUAUUAUGGCAAACAUUUUGCUAAAUUGCAAAUUGCCAAUAAUCUGUUACAAUGUGUAAAUUUAAAGAAAGGAUCUAAUAGGAAUUUUGCAAUCAGACAAUCCCAGAGAAACUUCAAGAAAAUCGUCAAGCAAAAACAACAAAAACCUCACCUAUCGAUUUAUCAAAAGUUUUAUCCUGUAAAUUCUGCUCAAAGCAGGGAAUCUGCAUGUCAUGAUUUUCCUGGUAUCUUCAGAUCUGCAGGUCUGAGCUGUGACCCUCAAGGAGAUCAGGCCCCGUGAUCUUCCUACUCUGAUCCUGGAUGCCCCUGAGGAUCCCAGAAGAUUUCUACUUAACUUUCACCCUAUCUAAGCCUGUCUCUCAAGGCUAUCUCUCACCAGAUCUGUAUGAAACGAUGUGACUUCCAUCCUGAAGUGAAAUUCCCCUCCUGGCCACUGGUCUCUUCUUCUAUCUGUUUUGUCUGUUGAUUGUCAACUCUGUUGCCCUGUGCUAUGUGGAGAACCCAGGGAUUGGAGGCAGGGCAUACGGUUGUUGGUGGUGGGGGUCCUUCUUGCACCAGCUCUGGGAGCUCAAUGGGUGGUGGCAUUGGGUGGGGGUCGGACAUGUACUUCCCAGGACCUCCUGGGCUCCAGUGGGCAGACUGUACUUGAGUACAGUCCUUGAAAAAUAAAUAUAAAAUCUGACAAUAACAUUUUGUCAAAUAUAAGAUCACACUGCUCAAGAAUCAAUACCCGAGGCCAGGUGUGGUGAUGCACACCUGUAAUCCCAGCCCUC